rnacentral:lncRNA from 1 species
UUAUCAUUAUAGUAAUAUGAACGUGCAUACUACCGAUAAUUUGUAAACUUCCAUUUUCAAACUUGCCGCAAAAGACAAAGUCAACCAAGACAACCAUUUCCUUUUCUGAUUGAAAUCGCUGAUUCACCGGGAUUGAUAUCCCGCGUUCCCGUUUUUAAUACCAAUCACCAAGAAUCAUUUACCUUACUUUUGCUUGUUUCUAUAAAUUUCGGAAACUUCAACUUGUUUCUAUAAAUUUCGAAUCAUGCCAAGACUAUAAAUACCAAGACCAUCAUCACUGUUUCACUCCCACACAACCUGUUCGAACACCACACCCUCAAAUACUCUCUCUGCCGCCGCCGGAGAAGUCGCCGUCGCCGGAGAAGUCGCCGUCGCCGGAUAAGAAGACCGGGACUUGCAUCUUCGCCGGAGCUGUACCAGGGUCACGCUGGAGUUACAUCGGCCUCGGGUCGGAAACACUACAAGUGGCCGGAGAAUCGGAGAAGACAACCGGAGUUUGGUCGGAGAUGCGAAGACGCCGCCAACUCGUUACGUAUUCGGUUGAUAGUCAAGAUGAUGAAGCAAUCAAGUUAGGAUGGACUAGAUACCCAUUUUAGCAAUAAACUAUUUGUUUGAAUUUAUGUUUGAAUAUUCGAAACUUUGUAUUGCCCUUUAGAAUUUAAUAAAAUGAUUUAAUUCAUAUUGUCACAUUUAGUGUUAUGUUAUUUUGAGCAAUUUGUUCGUCUCAUCCUGAUGUUUCCGCCAUCGGUUGCGGUGUGACAACCACCUAGACCUCCAGUUCCGCAACCAGCACCUCAACCACGUUUCUCUCCUCCUGAGCAGGAAGAGAUACUCCAACGAUUAGAUCGUGUGGAGAGAGAGUUCGAGGAAGAGAAAAAGAGCCACCGAGGUUUCCUCAAGGGCUUGGCAAACCUACUAAAGGGCAAGAAGAAGAAACGUGAUCACUAGUCCUUAUAAACGUACUAAUGUAAUUUCUAUUUUGAAAUAAGUCCCUGCGUGGACACUUAUCGUAUUUUAGUCCCUACAUGGACUUAUCCGUUAAUCCCUACAAGGACACAUGUCGUGUACUAGUCCUUGUAUGGACCUGUCUUUUAUUUAACCAUUAUAGAGGUAUGUGCUUGUUUUAAAGACCCGUUUAGGACAGUAUGCAGUUGUAAUUGCAAUUAUGGAAUGUUAU